rnacentral:sRNA from 1 species
AAAGUAAUUCGAUUUUCGUUAUAGGUAAACACUUCUGGUAUGAUUUAAGAGCAGACUCUGACUGUAACGCCCUGUUUCCGGUUUUCCUAUUGUAUAACAACAAAGGGGAGCUCACUGCCUUUGGCUGGGCUAUGGUAACCAAUCUUGUCUCUACACGAUACGAACACCCAUCGCCUAAUUCGUUUGGUUUGUUCAUUAAAGAUGUGCCUAGAUGUUUAAACGUCGCAGGGGUACUGACCACUAUGCAUAUUUACUUGACCAGUAACGUGACACUGGACACAUGUUAGAUUUAUUCCAAGGCUUUGUGAAGCAACUUCUCUGUGAGACUGAAGCACUUUGUCAAGGAAGUACCUGGAAUAUAGAAUGAGCUUUUCACAUUUUAUCUUUUUUUAGUUUCACUAGAAAGUCUAACAUUCAAUUAUCUUAUAUUUAAAUCUAAUAUUACUUUAAUUUCUUUUGUAGAGAAAUGAAAAAUAAUAAUGAAUAAAAAAGAUAAUAAUUUGU